UGCAAGUCGAGCGGUAGCACAGAGAGCUUGCUCUCGGGUGACGAGCGGCGGACGGGUGAGUAAUGUCUGGGAAACUGCCUGAUGGAGGGGGAUAACUACUGGAAACGGUAGCUAAUACCGCAUAACGUCGCAAGACCAAAGUGGGGGACCUUCGGGCCUCAUGCCAUCAGAUGUGCCCAGAUGGGAUUAGCUAGUAGGUGGGGUAACGGCUCACCUAGGCGACGAUCCCUAGCUGGUCUGAGAGGAUGACCAGCCACACUGGAACUGAGACACGGUCCAGACUCCUACGGGAGGCAGCAGUGGGGAAUAUUGCACAAUGGGCGCAAGCCUGAUGCAGCCAUGCCGCGUGUGUGAAGAAGGCCUUCGGGUUGUAAAGCACUUUCAGCGGGGAGGAAGGCGUUAAGGUUAAUAACCUUGGCGAUUGACGUUACCCGCAGAAGAAGCACCGGCUAACUCCGUGCCAGCAGCCGCGGUAAUACGGAGGGUGCAAGCGUUAAUCGGAAUUACUGGGCGUAAAGCGCACGCAGGCGGUCUGUCAAGUCGGAUGUGAAAUCCCCGGGCUCAACCUGGGAACUGCAUUCGAAACUGGCAGGCUAGAGUCUUGUAGAGGGGGGUAGAAUUCCAGGUGUAGCGGUGAAAUGCGUAGAGAUCUGGAGGAAUACCGGUGGCGAAGGCGGCCCCCUGGACAAAGACUGACGCUCAGGUGCGAAAGCGUGGGGAGCAAACAGGAUUAGAUACCCUGGUAGUCCACGCCGUAAACGAUGUCGAUUUGGAGGUUGUGCCCUUGAGGCGUGGCUUCCGGAGCUAACGCGUUAAAUCGACCGCCUGGGGAGUACGGCCGCAAGGUUAAAACUCAAAUGAAUUGACGGGGGCCCGCACAAGCGGUGGAGCAUGUGGUUUAAUUCGAUGCAACGCGAAGAACCUUACCUGGUCUUGACAUCCACAGAACUUUCCAGAGAUGGAUUGGUGCCUUCGGGAACUGUGAGACAGGUGCUGCAUGGCUGUCGUCAGCUCGUGUUGUGAAAUGUUGGGUUAAGUCCCGCAACGAGCGCAACCCUUAUCCUUUGUUGCCAGCGGUUAGGCCGGGAACUCAAAGGAAACUGCCAGUGAUAAA
rnacentral:rRNA from 1 species